UGUUCUGGCGCUGUUACAUUCAUCGGUGAGUACCUCUUGUUAGUCAAGAAGGCAACUCUGCACCCUUCUCCUCCUGUGACAUCUAUAUUCACACCUAUAACUUGUGGACGUUCUAAAGGUAUCCUCGCCUGGCAACAUCUGAAACCAUCGCAGACCGAGUUUGUUACUUGCUGACUACGUUUACUGUCUUGGCAGCUCGAUUCACAACCUAUGAUCUCUGAUUCUAUAUCUGUAAGAGAUGUCUUGGCACCGCAACCAACCGCCACGAGACGGUUUUGGUCUGUGAGAAAAUAUGGACUGC
rnacentral:lncRNA from 1 species